rnacentral:lncRNA from 1 species
GAGCCUCAGAUGAAACUGCUGGCUUCAGUGAGCCAGAAUCUCAUUGACGGAUCCUACCCAAGGAUCCAGCAUGUCUAAGCAGCACUCAGGCAUGCGGUGUGCACGCUGCUAAGUGGAGCUUCCUCUUUGGUGCUGUCUGGCUGACAGACACAUGACGGCGUGUGUCAUUGCCCUAAAUCCCUGUUCUUUCUGAUACUGCUCGUAUCAUUCCUUUCCCUCCUGGAACUUCCACUCGGGAACAAAUUUGCAUUUCCUAAUCAGUUGAAUUGCCUGUGGCAGUGGGAGUUCUUAUUUGCAAGUAAUGCCUAUUGGAUCUUUGAUACAAGCUUUUGCAAGCCUUUGUUGUGCAAAUGCAGGCGUAUAACUCAAGUAAACCAAUUGGCUUCAGUAGGAUUACCCAUAAGAGAGUUAAAUGCUAAGUCAUAUGAAUAAAUACCACUCUUGAAGAGGCAAAUUCUGCAAUUUAGGACAACUUUAAUUUUUAAAGAAAAAGUGGUUGCGGCAUAAAUCAUCGGUUAAACCAAUAAGAUAAUCAGUUUUCUGUUCAGCUUGUCUGCAAAUGUGAGAGGUGGUUUUUUGCUUGUUUGUUUUUGUUUGUUUGUUUGCUUGCUUGUUUUGCAAUCAUACUAAGAAUAUAUUAAUAUUUGCAUCUCAGAGUAUCAUUCCUUCCUUAGAGGAAUGAAGAACGAUUGUGUCACAUGUUGCAGGUAGGAGAACAGCCACAGAACAAGCAAAGGGAUUUAGGGUUACUGAGUAUCCUACGGGAAAGCAAAAAACAGCAUUUCUGGCUUCCAGCUUCUAGCCAGCAUCUCCCAGACAGAAGUCAGCAAUGUCAGCAAGGUCUCUGGCCAGCUGGUAAUAUUAAUUUCAAAAAUUUUAAGUACCUACUAAAAAGGAACACUGAAGUGAUAAGAUAAAAUGCAUGCUAUAGUUGCUGUUGCAAACAGCAUUUUUAACAGCCACAGUGAAAAUAGAAGCAGUUCUAGAACUUUUCAUUAUUUUUUUCCUGGCUGUCGUUCACUGCAUGAAUUCCUGUUAUCAUGUGGGAGUGGAUUCAGCAAUUUCCAAGGCAUUUUUAACUGCUGUGUUGUUCUUCUGGUUCAUGGCUCCGACAGCAUAAGCUUGGUCUUGCAGUCCCUGAACUUGAUUUCUCUGGUAACAUUUCCUGCUGUGAAGGUUUGCUGUAUGAGUGCCAUUGUUUGUUCCUCUGCCUUACCAUCAGCCCAGCAGUGCAAUGGCAUCAUGUCCCUGAACCAAUGUGACUGUGACUAGACAAAAAGCUGCUGAAUACAGUGUACUGUCUUUAACACUACAAAUUAUAAAGCAUUUUAAAGGAUAUGGGGCAGACUUGCUAAGUGAUUCUCGUCUAGCUUAUGAGCAUGCUUUAUGCAGCAUACAGAGCACAGGGGUCAAUUCUUGAAGACGUCCUGUCUUACUGUACUAGGUGUAAUAUUUUCUGGCCCUUGUAUGUGUACAUAGCUUCCUCCAUCAGAGAAAAUGGUAAUGAGUUUGCAUACCAAGGAGACAAUAAAUCCCAGUUCCCCUUCA